rnacentral:tRNA from 1 species
GCUCGGGUGGUGGAAUGGUAGACACGCCAGACUUAGGAUCUGGUGCCGCAAGGCAUGAGGGUUCGAGUCCCUCUUCGAGCA